UACGGAAGGUCCAAGCGUUAAUCGGAAUUACUGGGCGUAAAGCGCGCGUAGGUGGUUUAUUAAGUUGGGUGUGAAAGCCCCGGGCUCAACCUGGGAACUGCAUCCAAAACUGAUUCACUAGAGUACGAAAGAGGGAGGUAGAAUUCACAGUGUAGCGGUGGAAUGCGUAGAUAUUGUGAAGAAUACCAAUGGCGAAGGCAGCCUCCUGGUUCUGUACUGACACUGAGGUGCGAAAGCGUGGGUAGCGAACAGGAUUAGAUACCCUGGUAGUCCACGCCGUAAACGAUGACAACCAGCUGUUGGGAAGCAAUGCUUUCAGUGGCGCAGCUAACGUCUUAAGUUGUCCGCCUGGGGAGUACGGCCGCAAGGUUAAAACUCAAAUGAAUUGACGGGGACCCGCACAAGCGGUGGAGCAUGUGGUUUAAUUCGAUGCAACGCGAAAAACCUUACCUACUCUUGACACCCUUGGAAUCUCUUGUAAUGAGAGAGUGCCUUUUGGAACCAAGUGACAGGUGCUGCAUGGCUGUCGUCAGCUCGUGUCGUGAGAUGUUCCGUUAAGUCGGAUAACGAGCGCAACCCUUACCCUUAUUUGCCAGCGGUUCGGCCGGGAACUAUAAGGGGACUGCCGGUGAUAAACCGGAGGAAGGUGAGGACGACGUCAAGUCAUCAUGGCCCUUACGAGUAGGGCUACACACGUGCUACAAUGGGAAGUACAGAGGGACGCCAAAGCGUGAGCUGGAGCUAAUCUCAUAAAACUUUUCGUAGUCCGGAUUGCAGUCUGCAACUCGACUGCAUGAAGUCGGAAUCGCUAGUAAUCGCGGAUCAGCACGCCGCGGUGAAUACGUUCUCGGGUCU
rnacentral:rRNA from 1 species